rnacentral:rRNA from 1 species
UGAAUACGAGAUGCUACGGCGUCGAAGCAGUCUAUGUCAUACUUCCAAGAAAAGCUUGCACUGUCAUAAACAAAUAAUGCCUGUACCAUAACCGACACAGGUGGGUAGGUAGAGUAUACUAAGGGGCGCGAGAUAACUCUCUCUAAGGAACUCGGCAAAAUGACUCCGUAACUUCGGGAGAAGGAGUGCCUUAUUUAUAAGGUUGCAAUAACAAGAUCCAAGCAACUGUUUACCAAAAACACAGGUCUCCGCUAAGUCGUAAGACGAUGUAUGGGGGCUGACGCCUGCCCAGUGCCAGAAGGUUAAAGAAGUUGGUUAGCAUCCGCGAAGCUGAUAACUGAAGCCCUGGUGAACGGCGGCCGUAACUAUAACGGUCCUAAGGUAGCGAAAUUCCUUGUCGGGUAAGUUCCGACCCGCACGAAAGGCGUAAUGAUUUGGAUACUGUCUCGGAGAGGGGCUCGGUGAAAUAGACUUGUCUGUGAAGAUGCGGACUACCUGCACCAGGACAGAAAGACCCUAUGAAGCUUUACUGUAACCUGAAAUUGAAAUUGGACUUUACUUGCGCAGUAUAGGUGGGAGGCGUUGAGAAUAUUCUUGCGGGAUUAUUGGAGCCAUCAGUGAGAUACCACUCUUGUAAUGUUAGAUUUCUAACUUUGUAUCAUUAUCUGGUCAAAGAACAGUUUCAGGCGGGCAGUUUGACUGGGGCGGUCGCCUCCUAAACGGUAACGGAGGCGCACAAAGGUUUCCUCUGAACGGGUAGAAAUCGUAUCUAGAGUGUAAAGGCAUAAGGAAGCUUGACUGUGAGACCUACAAGUCGAGCAGGGACGAAAGUCGGUCUUAGUGAUCUGACGGUGCUGAGUGGAAAGGCCGUCACUCAACGGAUAAAAGUUACUCUAAGGAUAACAGGCUGAUCUCCCCCAAGAGUUCACAUCGACGGGGAGGUUUGGCACCUCGAUGUCGGCUCAUCGCAUCCUGGGGCGGUAGUACGUCCCAAGGGUUGGGCUGUUCGCCCAUGAAAGCGGUACGCGAGCUGGGUUCAGAACGUCGUGAGACAGUUCGGUCCAUAUCCGGUGUAGGCGUUAGAAUAUUGAGAGGAGCCUUCUUUAGUACGAGAGGACCGAGAAGGACAUACCUCUGGUGUACCAGUUAUCGUGCCAACGGUAAACGCUGGGUAGCUAUGUGUGGAGUGGAUAACCGCUGAAAGCAUCUAAGUGGGAAGCCCACCUCAAGAUAAGUAUUCAC